CAGACUUAUGACGCACUAUUUUUUUAUGAAAACGUUUAACAAUUAUGAUGUAGUUUUUGACUCAUUAUUUUAGUUUUAUUUGUUGAUUAAUGAAUAUUGUGUAAAAGUCUAUACGUGCCUUAAAGGCAAAAUAUUAAUUAUUGUUAGGAUAUCUAGUAAAUGAAUAAGAAAACAGGCCAAGUAAAAUGGUUUAACGAGAGUAAAGGUUUUGGAUUUAUCACACCAACCGAUGGGAGCAAAGACGUAUUUGUUCACUUUUCAGCAAUUUCGGGUGAAGGUUUUAAAACCCUAGCUGAAGGUCAACAAGUGGAAUUUGCUAUUCAAGAUAGCCCUCGCGGACCUGCGGCAUCAGAAGUUGUCGUUAUCUAAUUAAUAUCGUA
rnacentral:sRNA from 1 species